GAUCUUUCAGCUGCACAUCCCAGUUAUUCGCAACAGUUCAAGCCAAAAGUAAGAAAACCCUAGCUAAAAAUGGGCUGAAGAAUAUUGUAGUGGUGGAUGGUGUUCGCAUUCCAUUUUUGCAGUCCGGGACCUCAUAUGCAGAUUUAAUGCCACAUGACUUGGCCAGAGCAGCACUGAUAGGCUUGGUGAAUCGGACUGAUGUGCCUAAGGAAGCUGUUGAGUACAUUUUGUGUGGCACUGUUAUCCAAGAAGUGAAAACAAGUAAUGUUGCUA